rnacentral:rRNA from 1 species
UAACCUGGUUGAUCCUGCCAGUAGUCAUAUGCUUGUCUCAAAGAUUUAGCCAUGCAUGUCUAAGUAAAAACUAAAUUAUGGUGAAACUGCAAAUGGCUCAUUACAACGGUUAUGAUGUACCCGGGAUUUCCGAUGGAUAUUUCCAGUAACACUAGAGCUAAUACAUGUAUCUGCGUUUAUUAGUUUCAAACAAAUCUGUCGCUGAGUCAUGGUAAACCGUUGAUCGACUCGACGUCCCGGAACAGUUUCCGCCCCAUCAGCUUCGAUGGUUGGGUAUUGGCCUACCAUUGCAACAACGGGUAACGAGGAAUUAGGGUUUGAUUUCGGAGAGGGAGCCUGAGAAACGGCUACCACAUCUACGGAUGGCAGCAGGCGCGCAAAUUACCCAAUGCAGACACUGUGAGGUAGUGACGAGAAAUAAUAAAGUGGGGCUUCUGUCUCGCUAUUAUAAUGAGGAAUAACUAAAUGUCAUUCCUAUUAGCAACUGAUGGGAAAGUCUGGUGCCAGCAGCCGCGGUAAUACCAGCUUCAGUAGCAUAUAUUAAAAUUGUUGCAGUUAAAACGUCCGUAGUCUGUACGUCGUCCGAGACUUUACUACAUCUCUGCAUGUUCUUCAUUGAGCGUGCAGUAGGUUGUAGUUACUCCCUUGAUCAAAAUAGAUUGCUCAAGGUAGACCAAGUCUUCAUAUCUUCACAUGGAAUUGGGUGAGGGAACUUAAGAGGUUAAGUUUCUCGUCUUAGGAUCAUCUGGGGUCAUUCGUACUCGUCCGCGAGAGGUGAAAUUCUUGGACCGGACGAAGACGAUCAACAGCGAAAGCAUCUGUCAGGGAUGUUUUCUGCGACAAAGGACGAAGGUCAGGGUAUCGAAGACGAUUAGAUACCGUCGUAGUCCUGACUGUAAACUAUGCCGACUUGGGUCUUGCAGAGUAAAUACUUUGUGAGACCCACACAGAAAUGAAAGUGUAUGGGUUCUGGGGGUAGUAUGGACACAAGUCUGAAACUUGAAGGAAUUGACGGAAGAGCACCAUAAGACGUGGAGCUUGCGGCUUAAUUUGAUUCAACGCGGGAAAACUUACCAGGUCAAGACAUGGGCGUGAUUGACAGGCUAAUGACCUUUCUCGAUUCCUUGGAUGGUGGUGCAUGGUCGCACUUAGUUGGUGCAGUGAUUUGUCAGGUUUAUUCCGGUAACGAACGAGACCUUAGCCUA